rnacentral:rRNA from 1 species
ACUCCUACGGGAGGCAGCAGUAAGGAAUAUUGCGCAAUGGACGAAAGUCUGACGCAGCGACGCCGCGUGGGGGAUGAAGGUCUUCGGAUUGUAAACCCCUUUCGGGAGGGAAGAUGGAGUGGGUAACCACUUGGACGGUACCUCCAGAAGCAGCCACGGCUAACUUCGUGCCAGCAGCCGCGGUAAUACGAAGGUGGCAAGCGUUGUUCGGAUUCACUGGGCGUACAGGGAGCGUAGGCGGUUGGGUAAGCCCUCCGUGAAAUCUCCGGGCCUAACCCGGAAAGUGCAGAGGGGACUGCUCAGCUAGAGGAUGGGAGAGGAGCGCGGAAUUCCCG